GAUCGCAUACCUCAGUUGGCAGAGCAUUGGGCUAGUAUUCCAAAGGUCGUCACUGUAGGUUUGAUUCCCACUGUGGACA